UGCAUCACUAGCUAUGAAAGGCUGGAGGAGGCAGUUGGGGUGCAUCAGAAAGCGCUGGACGAUCUGGUGAGCGUGAACUCGCUCUUCACCGCCGCGGUCUUCGUCGGCCUGGCGUUCGCGAGCGCUGGACAGCAGAACAUAGAGGGCAACAAGCAGUGCGAACCAGGAGUUCACGUGGCGAGGAGGCUGGUCAAGAACGAGGUAAUAUCGUUCGCCUGCUAUCUCUUGUCCAGCCUCGUGGCCAAAGCCCUCAAGACCCACCUCUUCGCCUACCUCAAAAACCCGCACAAAGACCCCGCCAACAUCCCCAAUACCUUCAAAAGCCGGUCGAAAAAAGGCUCUGAGAGGGACCCUCUUCACUCUCUCCGCAUUGACCUCCAUCAUCGGCGGCGUGUUCCUCCUGUACUCCAUGGUCGACAUGAUCCAGCUCCGGCUCGGCAAGGUUGCCUGCAAAGGUACCGAGACAAUUCACGCCGUCGGCACACUGAUUGCUGUCGACAGCCUCGCGCUGGUCAUCUACGUACCCUUUGUCCUGCACGCCAUCUAUAACUCCACCAAGAUCUUCGACGACCUGGAGUAAUAUAAGAUUGCUCCCUUCCAUGCCAUCGGCAGGUGCAAAAUUCUAAGUUUGAUGCUGAGCCUUUACUCGGCUUCGCUACAUAGAAUUGCGAGAUGAGUUUAGAAUAAAGGGGAGCUUUCUUUGCUUUCCGUAUGUAUUUGUGCUUAUUUGUCACAUUCCCUGCGUUUACAGUUUUGCAAUAAUAAGAGGGAGGUGCAGAACCACUCGUCUUGUCA